GAACUAGUUUCACUAAUGGAUCGGUUUCCUGGUGUGUCCACACAUACCAUGACAUGUUGCUUCUAAAACUCUUCUCCUUCACUUGUUACAUCUGUCAACAUUUGAUUUUUUUUUUUUUUUUUUUUUAUUCAUGUCACUCUAGUUGUGG